rnacentral:rRNA from 1 species
UACGUAUGGGGCAAGCGUUGUUCGGAUUCACUGGGCGUAAAGGGCUUGUAGGUGGCAAGAUAAGUCGGAUGUGAAAUCUCCGGGCUUAACCCGGAAACUGCGUUCGAAACUGUCUAGCUAGAGUACCGGAGAGGGAAACGGAAUUCCUGGUGUAGGGGUGAAAUCUGUAGAUAUCAGGAAGAACACCGGUGGCGAAGGCGGUUUCCUGGCCGGAUACUGACACUGAGGAGCGAAAGCUAGGGGAGCAAACAGGAUUAGAUACCCGCGUA